rnacentral:rRNA from 1 species
GGUAACAGCGGGCAGGUGGCCGCGGUAAUGCGUAGGAGGCAGGCGGUGGCGGGAUUUGUGGGACGGAAAGGGGGGGCAGGCGGUCGUGUAAGGCGAAGGUGAAAGCCCCCGGCGCAACUGGGGAGGGUCAUUCGAGACGGAUCGACUUGAAGGCAGGAGAGGGAAGUGGAAUUCCGGGUGUAGUGGUGAAAUGCGUAGAUAUCCGGAGGAACACCAGUGGCGAAGGCGACUUCCUGGCCUGUUCUUGACGCUGAGGCGCGAAAGCUGGGGGAGCAAACGGGAUUAGAUACCCCAGUAGUC